ensembl:lncRNA
AGGCCACCCAGAAGCCAAACAAGCAAACUUUUAAAGAAUUUUAAAAGAGCAUAAGGCAUUGAAAUGAGCAAAGUCUAUGGUUUGAACAGACUGCACCCCUGUUGAGAGUGACAACGAGUUGGUGGCAAAGAUACAACUGAGCGACAACUUCAAGAAAAUAAAGAUAUUGAAAAAACAUUUGAAUGAGGCCACCGACAGAAAUAAACCAAUGGCAGAAGAGAUACAGAAAACUUAAUGUCAAGCUACAGGAAUGCCUGAUGUCCAAACUGAAACCCAUGUUAGCACCCAGUACCUUGGUACAGCCCAGCCCCUUGGACCAGCCGGGAGAGACCACAUGGACACACCCAGAACUGACCACAUGGGAGAGACCAGGGUGAUCAGCUAAUCAGCAUGCAAAAUACAACAGCAGUGAACUGAGGCUACUGGACCUAGGACUCCUGUGGGGAAAAGAUCCUCUAAAACCUUGUAUCGAAAUAAAUAAUCACAACAACAGAAAAUCACAGAAUCACUCAUAAAUGCUUCAGACAUACUGUAUUAUCUACAUUUAAUGCAAAAUGGUUAAACAUUUCUCAUGGCAUUCUAUCUUUAUCAAAC